UAAGGGGAGGAAAAGAAACUAACAAGGAUUCCGUCAGUAGCGGCGAGCGAACACGGAAGAGCCCAGCGCUGAAUCCCCCGGUCCGUGCGGGCCGGCGGGAAAUGUAGCGUUAGGGAGCGUCCGUUACCUCGGUCGCGUGCGGUGAGCCCAAGUCUCCCUUGAACGGUGCCACAAUCCAUAGAGGGUGCCAGGCCCGUCUGGCCGCCGCCGCGUCCGGGUGGACGUCUCCUAGGAGUCGGUCUGCUUGAGAACGCAGACCUAAGUGGGUGGUAAACUCCAUCUAAGGCUAAAUACGACCACGAGACCGAUAGCGCACAAGUACCGUGAGGGAAAGGUGAAAAGAACUUUGAAGAGAGAGUUCAAGAGUACGUGAAACUGGAGAGGUGAAAACGGAAGUGGCUCGAUAUUCCGAACGGUGGUGUUCAGUCUCACCGUCGUCGGCGCCCGCGUCCGGGAGAUCAAGGUAACCCGUCGGUUGGCGUGCGUCGGUCCCUCGUGGGCCGGCCGCGUCGCCCGGGCCCCCUCCCGUUGGCGCCGGGUCCUAAUUGUCCGGCGCGGUGUGGAUGCACUCACUGCCGUAGUAGGAUGUCGCGACUCGUCGGGUGUCGGUCGCGAGGCUGGUGGAGGUUCAGCCCGGUGUCCGUGUGACGCGCACCCCUGGGGCAAAAUGCGCGCAGUGCGGCCCGGACUCUUGCCGGUUCUCUCCGACUGCCCGACGGUAUCAAAAGCAAGUCGACCGCAGCGGCCCGCUCUCACAGCCCGGUCCCCGCCCUCUGUGGCGUACCGGGCAGGCGGGUCCCGCGACCGCGUUGGGCCCUCGCGCCCCGCGGGAGCCGGUCGAUUGUCUGCGGCAUUGCCUGAUUCGGGUCCACUUCCGACCCGUCUUGAAACACGGACCAAGGAGCGUAACACGUGCGCGAGUCGAAGGGUGCUACUAAACCUGAAGGCGAAGCGAAAGCGUAAGGGGCGAUGGCAUACUGGUCCGGCAAUUCGGUCGCCCCUCGGGGCCUCCGGUACCGGCCGGCCCGCAGCCCCGGGGCACCUCAAUUGGCUCUCCCGCGUCGCGGGUCCUCGGAAGCGGGCGUCUCUGGCGCAGCGCACGGGGGCCGGUGCGGUUGAGUCGAGGCGCACCUGAGAGCGUACGUGUUGUUACCCGAAAGAUGGUGAACUAUGCCUGGCCAGGACGAAGCCAGGGGAAACCCUGGUGGAAGUCCGUAGCGAUUCUGACGUGCAAAUCGAUCGUCGGAGCUGGGUAUAGGGGCGAAAGACUAAUCGAACCAUCUAGUAGCUGGUUCCCUCCGAAGUUUCCCUCAGGAUAGCUGGCGCUCGGAGGACCCGAGAAGGGACGAAUGAGUCUCAUCCGGUAAAGCGAAUGAUUAGAGGCCUUGGGGACGAAACGACCUCAACCUAUUCUCAAACUUUAAAUGGGUGAGAACCCCGGCUUGCUUGAGCAGGAGGGUCUCCGGUGUUCGGUACCGCUCCCAAAAGGACGGCCGCCCGGUCCCACCGAACCAAUCGUCAUGAAGCCGGGGAGUCUAACGGAUCAUGAGUGCCAAGUGGGCCAAUUUUGGUAAGCAGAACUGGCGCUGUGGGAUGAACCAAACGCAGAGUUAAAGCGCCUAAAUCGACGCUCAUGGGAGACCAUGAAAGGUGUUGGUUGCUUAAGACAGCAGGACGGUGGCCAUGGAAGUCGGAAUCCGCUAAGGAGUGUGUAACAACUCACCUGCCGAAGCAACUAGCCCUUAAAAUGGAUGGCGCUAAAGCGUCGUGCUUAUACUCUGCCGCCGGUGGCAAAAGUGGCCGGACAGGCGGACGGUCCCUCCUGAGGGGGUGGAAUACCGGCCCCGAGCCUUGAAGCCCUGGUGAGUAGGAGGGUCGCUCGGGUGGCGCAGAAGGGUCUGGGCGUGAGCCUGCCUGGAGCCGCCCGAGGUGCAGAUCUUGGUGGUAGUAGCAAAUACUCCAGAGAGGGCCCUGGAGGGCUGAUGCGGAGAAGGGUUCCGUGUGAACAGCUGUUGCACACGGGUCAGUCGAUCCUAAGCCCUAGGAGAACUCCUAUGUGCGAUGUGCGGGUUGUCUUUCUCGACACCCCCGCCGCCGGGCGAAAGGGAAUCAGGUUCCUAUUCCUGAACCCAGAUGCGGUACCGUUCUACCGGGCUUGUCUCGAAGCCGUACCCGCCCCGCGUUUCGGCGCGGUGGAGACGGGGCGUGCCUAGGGCGAACUCGUCGGGGUAACCCGAACAGCCGCGGAGAAGCCGGCAGGAGCCCCCGGGAGAGUUGUCUUUUCUGUAUUACCGCGCAAGUUCCCUGGAAUUCCAUUGCGGAGAGAGAGGGAAUAGCGCGGGAAGAGCACCGCACUUGUCGGCGGUGUCGGGGGUGUCCUCUCGGACCAUGAAAAUCCGCGUGAGGGCUACGGAGAACAACCGAUCUGGCUCGUACCCAAUCCGCAG
rnacentral:rRNA from 1 species